CGAGUAAGGGCACACGGUGGAUGCCUUGGCGAAAGAAGCCGAUGAAGGACGUAGUAGCCUGCGAUAAGCGUCGGGGAGCUGGCAAACAUCAACAGAGAUUCCGUUAGUAGCGGCGAGCGAACGCGGAACAGCCAAAACCUUUUUAGUGUUAAAGCUUACAGGCGUUGUUAAAAAGGGGUUGUGAGGUUGCUACCCAUUCUUAGUAAUCAGUCCCGAGUAUAUCGAGGGGUUGAUUACUGGGAACCACGAAGAACUGUAAAUCUUCGGUAAGGUAUAAAAAGCAAAAGAUUUAAUGGAAGGAACCUGGAAAGGACCGCCAUAGAGGGUGAUAGCCCCGUACGUGAAAAAUCUUUUGGCCUUAUGUAGCAUCACUCUAGUACCACGGGACACGAGGAAUCUUGUGGGAAUCUGGGAGGACCACCUUCCAAGGCUAAAUACUUCUUUCGACCGAUAGUGAACAAGUACCGUGAGGGAAAGGUGAAAAGAACCCCGGCGAGGGGAGUGAAAUAGAAUCUGAAACCAUGUGCCUACAAAGAGUCGGAGCAUCGCAUCAGGCGGUGUGACGGCGUGCUUUUUGCAGAACGAACCAACGAGUGACUUCAUACUGCAAGGUUAAGCUGUUACGCAGCGGAGCCGAAGUGAAAGCGAGCCUUAAUAGGGCGUUUAGUAGUAUGUAGUCGACCCGAAACCGGGUGACCUAACCAUGGGCAGGCUGAAGCGGCGGUAAGACGUCGUGGAGGGCCGAACCCACGUCAGUUACAAAUGGCGGGGAUGACCUGUGGUUAGCGGAGAAAUUCCAAUCGAACCCGGAGAUAGCUGGUUCUCUCCGAAAUAGCUUUAGGGCUAGCCCUGUAAAUUAACUCUCGGGGGUAGAGCACUGAAUCGGUCUGGGGCCUUUACCGGUACCCAACCGAAAUAAACUCCGAAUACCGAGAGAUAUUAUUGCAGGAGUCAGAACGCGGGGGCUAAGCUCCGCGCUCGAAAGGGAAACAGCCCAGAUCGCCAUCUAAGGUCCCUAAAUCUAUGCUAAGUGGGAAACGAUGUGAAGUUGCACAGACAACCAGGAUGUUGGCUUAGAAGCAGCCAUCAUUUAAAAAGUGCGUAAUAGCUUACUGGUCAAUUGUGACUUUGCGCGGAAAAUAUAACGGGGCUCAAGCAUAGUACCGAAGAUGCGGAUUUCGUACAUUAGUACGGAGUGGUAGGAGAGCGUUCCUGUCUGGAGUGAAGCUGAAUCGUAAGGUUUGGUGGACCGUCAGGAAGUGAGAAUGUUGGUAUGAGUAGCCAGAAAGGACGUGAAAACCGUCCUCACCGUAAGUCCAAGGUUUCCAGGGCAACGUCGAUCGUCCCUGGGUUAGUCGGUCCUAAGCCGAGGCCAAUGGCGUAGGCGAUGGACAACAGGUUGAUAUUCCUGUACCGGUGUUAUUGUUCCUCUAGCUGACGCUGGAUGGUAGUCGGAGCGCACUAUGGCUAUGUGCGUCUAAGUGUCUAGUCCCUUCGGGGGUGAAGCACGAAUGAGUUUCGGGAGAACCCUCUUUAAGGAACUCGGCAAAACAGCGGGCGUAACUUCGGGAUAUGCCCUGCCAAACUGUGUCUCACUACUUUGUGAGACAGAGUGUUCCAAAGAAAAAUCCCAAAACUCUAAUAUGGCAUUAGAGACGACUUUAUGAAAGUAAGAAUUUUUGAGCAAUAAAUGUGAACAAUCUGUGUUUCGCAGUAGCGAGGCACGGUUUGGCCGCAGCGAAAGACCCCAGGCGACUGUUUAUCAAAAACACAGGUCUCUGCUAACUCGAAAGAGGAUGUAUAGGG
rnacentral:rRNA from 1 species